rnacentral:rRNA from 1 species
UACGUAGGGUGCAAGCGUUGUCCGGAAUUAUUGGGCGUAAAGAGCUCGUAGGCGGCCUGUCGCGUCGGCUGUGAAAACCCGGGGCUCAACCCCCGGGCCUGCAGUCGAUACGGGCAGGCUAGAGUCCGGCAGGGGAGACUGGAAUUCCUGGUGUAGCGGUGAAAUGCGCAGAUAUCAGGAGGAACACCGGUGGCGAAGGCGGGGUCUCUGGGCCGUAACUGACGCUGAGGAGCGAAAAGCGUGGGGGAGCGAACAGG